UCCGCCGGGGGGUUUCCCUACACAAGCAGGGUCCCAAGUUUGGGAAACACUGCACUAGAUAGUGAGGACUUGAGGCUGGGAGAGUACAGGGCCAAACCACAAGGGAGUGCUGUGGGAGACCCAAGCUGUGACAGUUUUAUUCUGUUUUCUGGUAAAAUGGAAUUGGCAUCCUGCCCAGCAGUAUGUCUCUCUGCUGUUCCACGGUUCCCCAAAUGUGAGAGGAGAGUGAAACGACAUUCCAUUAUCAAGCUAAACUUGUACCGAACACCUGGAGGUUUAGUUUAGGUUCCCUUGAAACUGUGAUGCUCAGAGCAAUAAUUAUCUAACAGGUAAAUCAGAUGCUCUCCAAGACUGUUUCUAGUGACAUGUGGAGCCAUCUUUUAGCCAGACAUUUCAUUAUGCUGUGGCAUUAAGAAUUAAAUAUUGAGUGAAUGUGACUGGAAGAACAUUUCCCAAAGUGUAAAUUGGAUUUAGAAGUCUGGGGGUUUCACCUCAUGCAAAGCACCAGAGAAGCUUGGUUUGGGAUCUGCUUAAACUUUGAUGGGAAAAGUUUAAGACCACAAGACUGAGGUCUCCAGGUCUACUCCGAAUUAACACUGCAAUUCUCGUGGAAGAAUGUUAACAUGCUCUGCACAUGGACUGCCUAUUAGACUAUAAUCCUUUUAAUUGAUUCCAGAAGGAUUUUUAUGAAUCAGCAGCUUCACCAUCUCUGCCAUGAAACUUACCUAGGGACUUUAUUCUAAUCUGUAUGUAUAUUGAUCUUUUAACCAUAGCAACUCUUUUUUUCCUUUUUAUUAAUAAAUCUUAGAUUUAGUUAAUAAGGAUUGGCUCUAAGCAUGUAUUUGGGUAAAAACUAAAAUAUUCAUUGACCUGGCAGGUAUGUGUCUGAUCUCUUGGGAUUGGUAGAACUUUAUAUAUGGUGAAUAAGGUUUUUAUUAACCUUCACUAUGUUAGACUUGGCUGUCUGGGUGGGAGCCAAAGGCUGGAUUGCUUAAAGGAGACUAUUUUGGAUUCUGGGAACCAGUAAGGUAUUACAGAAGCUGCUUGGGUUAUUGGCUUGGUGAAAUCUAAUUACAGAAUAAAUCACCAGUUUGGGGAUUUGUCUGCCCUAUUCUUUGCCAUUUGCCCUGAAUAAGCAUUCUCAGUAUGGCCCCUCCAGGCAUCAUGGUCACACAGGGGUAAAACCAAAGCUGCAAGAGAGGUAAAAAAUUGUUCCCAUUUGUCCAAAUGGGGUUAACUCUGAAACUCUUCAACCUCCAUUUGGAAGAAAGAGAGGUCAGAUACCAAAAACUUUUCACUGGCAGGAUUUAAUAAUCUCUGGUGUGUAGGGUUAUAUUUAUGACUCCCUAAAAGCUCUAGGAAAGUGUUUGCUAGUAUAUAACACUACCACUGGGCUGAUGGCCUGGCUUGUAAUGAUGUUCUGUCUCACCAAAUUACACCAUUUA